rnacentral:rRNA from 1 species
GGGGAAUAUUGGACAAUGGGCGCAAGCCUGAUCCAGUCAUGCCGCGUGAGUGAUGAAGGCCCUAGGGUUGUAAAGCUCUUUCAACGGUGAAGAUAAUGACGGUAACCGUAGAAGAAGCCUCGGCUAACUUCGUGCCAGCAGCCGCGGUAAUACGAAGGGGGCUAGCGUUGUUCGGAAUUACUGGGCGUAAAGCGCACGUAGGCGGAUUGGUCAGUUAGGGGUGAAAUCCCAGGGCUCAACCCUGGAACUGCCUUUAAUACUGCCGGUCUAGAGUCCGAGAGAGGUGAGUGGAAUUCCGAGUGUAGAGGUGAAAUUCGUAGAUAUUCGGAGGAACACCAGUGGCGAAGGCGGCUCACUGGCUCGGUACUGACGCUGAGGUGCGAAAGCGUGGGGAGCAAAC